AAAAUUUUCAAUCUGAAGGGUUAAUAUACACAUAAAAAAACAACAAAAGCAACAAUAAUUGAAUGAGAAAAUUUGAAUGAGAAAAUUAACACACUUUAUUAUCUGGGCUAAUUCUUUGCCUCAAAACUAAUAUAGUGAUAGACUUCUUAGAUCUAGCAAGAAGAAUAAGAAAUAUGUGCCAUGAGCCUAAAAAUUCUGGUUCCGCCUCUGCCUCCUUCCUUUGGUACUCUUGUGUAGCUGUGGUCAACCAACUCUCCCUCGAUUAUUUCUUCAACAUUUUCAAGAAUGGGCUGUGCUUAUUGGG
rnacentral:misc_RNA from 1 species